UGGGCCCCAGGGCACACAGAAAUUAGUUUAAAAUUAUUCUGGGUGUGUCUGUGAGGGCAUUUCUGGGUGAGAUUAACAUUUGAAUUCAUAGACUGAGUAAAGCAGAUUCCCUCUUCAAUGUGGGUGGGCCUCAUCCAGAUGUUGAAGACCUGAAUAAAAUAGAAAGGUUGAGCAAGAACCAGAAUUUAUAAGGUUGGUUUUCUUGGUUCGUAAGCUUCAUACGUGGACUGGAACAUACAACUGGCUUUCCUGGGUCUCUAUUUUGUCCCUUCUUCGGGGACCUCCAUUACAUGUACACUGGAUUUUUUCAGUGUUCGCUAGGUCUUGUGCAUAUGACGUUUCUGUAUUUUCUAUUGCUUUAUCUCUCCAUUUUUUUUUUUAUUCUGGACAUUUUCUUUGACUUAUUUUCAAGUCUACUAACUCUUUCCUUAUCUACAUCUAGUCUUCUGUUAAAUUUCACGAAUUGAAUUCUAAAUGUUUGUAUUGUCUUUUCAGUUCUAGAAUUUCAAAUAAGUUGUUUCAGAUAAUUUCCAGUUCCCUGAUGCAAUAAUCUUACAUCUUAUUUCCUUGCACACACUUAUCAUAGUUGAAGCCUAUGUCUGAUGACUCCGUUCUCUGCGGUCCUUGUAUGUCUUUUUUACUGUCUAUUAUUUUUCUUUGGUUAUUUCUUUUUUAAAAGAAAUACUUAUUUUUAGAUGUAGUUGGACACAACAUCUUUAUUUUGUUUAUUUUUAUGUGGUGCUGAGGAUCGAACCUAGGGCCUCACACUUGCUAGGCGAGCGCUCUACCACUGAACCACAUCCCCAGCCCUUUUUGGUUAUUUCUAUGUGAGAUCCAAACAUGGUAUUUGAAAAAUUACAAAGAUAAUUUUAGGCUUAGAAUAUAAUCUUCCUCUGGAGGUGAAUUUUUAUUUACUUCUGGAAGGAGGCAGAUUAUCUUAACACAAUCAAAAGUCCUUUCUUAUUAUGGUUAGGCCAUUUAUGGAUUAUCAUUACUCCUUGGGUGUAGAACUUGGAGAUCUUGUCCUGAAGCCCGAUAAGGAGGUCACUAAGGCCCUUCCUUAGCAGGCUCCAAGCACCCUUAUUUGUUAUCCCAACCUAUAAUCCUGUAGAAAGUUCUCCACAGCUUUUCAGUCUCCCAAAUUUAUAUCAACUUUUGCAAAUUAGAUUAUAUCCCUGGGGGAAAGGCAGCCCCCCCACCAAUGCUGAACUCGUUUCUCUUGUUUUCUAUCUCCCACAUCUUGGCCCUGCAGUGAAAAUAUUCAUUUAAAGGACAGCAGCUGUUCCCUCCUUCUUGCAGAAUAUUAGUACUUCCCUAAUAGCUUCUGAAAAAUCAUUCAUCUCUGCCACUGGUGGGAUAGCCAUGCCUGCUGUGCAGGGUGGGUGAGGAUUGCAUGAGGUAACUAAAGGGAAAGUACUUAGUGAGUUUUCUAAUAAUCACGUUUCCCUCUCUCUAG
rnacentral:lncRNA from 1 species